rnacentral:rRNA from 1 species
AUUGAACGCUGGCGGCAUGCUUUACACAUGCAAGUCGGACGGCAGCACAGAGAAGCUUGCUUCUUGGGUGGCGAGUGGCGAACGGGUGAGUAAUAUAUCGGAACGUACCGAGUAAUGGGGGAUAACUAAUCGAAAGAUUAGCUAAUACCGCAUAUUCUCUGAGGAGGAAAGCAGGGGACCUUCGGGCCUUGCGUUAUUCGAGCGGCCGAUAUCUGAUUAGCUAGUUGGUGGGGUAAAGGCCUACCAAGGCGACGAUCAGUAGCGGGUCUGAGAGGAUGAUCAGCCACACUGGGACUGAGACACGGCCCAGACUCCUACGGGAGGCAGCAGUGGGGAAUUUUGGACAAUGGGCGCAAGCCUGAUCCAGCCAUGCCGCGUGUAUGAAGAAGGCCUUCGGGUUGUAAAGGACUUUUGUCAGGGAAGAAAAGGCUGUUGCUAAUACCGACAGCUGAUGACGGUACCUGAAGAAUAAGCACCGGCUAACUACGUG